rnacentral:rRNA from 1 species
AUUGAACGCUGGCGGCAGGCCUAACACAUGCAAGUCGAACGAGUGGCGGACGGGUGAGUAAUUUCUGGGAACAUGCCUGAUGGAGGGGGAUAACUACUGGAAACGGUAGCUAAUACCGCAUACCAUCAGAUGUGCCCAGAUGGGAUUAGCUUGUUGGUGGGGUAACGGCUCACCAAGGCGACGAUCCCUAGCUGGGCUGAGAGGAUGACCAGCCACACUGGGACUGAGACACGGUCCAGACUCCUACGGGAGGCAGCAGUGGGGAAUAUUGCACAAUGGGCGCAAGCCUGAUGCAGCAAUGCCGCGUGAAUGAAGAAGGCUUUCGGGUUGUAAAGUACUGUCGGCGGGGAGGCGUUACCCGCAGAGAAAGCAACGGCUAACUACGUGCCAGCAGCCGCGGUAAUAC